GAUGAACGCUGGCGGCGUGCUUAACACAUGCAAGUCGAACGAAAAGGCGCCUGCUUUCCGGGUUACUCGAGUGGCGAACGGGUGAGUAAAACGUGGGUAAACUGCACUUCACUUAGGGAGAAGACUGGGAGACUGGGGCUAAUACCGGGUAGGAUCUCAUGAUGCGUGUGGUGGUGUAGAGAUUUUCGGUUUGGGUUGGUCUCGUGGCUUAUCAGCUGCUUGGUGGGGUAGUGGCCGACCAAGGCGCCGACGGGUAGCCGGCCUGAGAGGGUGGACGGCCACAAUGGGACUGAGAGACGGACCAGACUCCUAUGGGAGGCAGCAGUGGGGAACAUUGCACAAUGGGCGCAAGCCUGAUGCAGCGACGCCGCGUGCGUGAUGACGGCCUUCGGGUUGUAAACACCUUUCGCAGGGGACGAAGCGCAAGUGACGGUACCUGGUCAAGAAGCCCCGGCUAACUACGUG
rnacentral:rRNA from 1 species